GACGAACGCUGGCGGCGUGCCUAAUACAUGCGAGUAGAACGCUGAAGGAGGAGCUUGCUUCUCCGGAUGAGUUGCGAACGGGUGAGUAACGCGUAGGUAACCUGCCUGGUAGCGGGGGAUAACUAUUGGAAACGAUAGCUAAUACCGCAUAAGAGUAGAUGUUGCAUGACAUUUGCUUAAAAGGUGCAAUUGCAUCACUACCAGAUGGACCUGCGUUGUAUUAGCUAGUUGGUGAGGUAACGGCUCACCAAGGCGACGAUACAUAGCCGACCUGAGAGGGUGAUCGGCCACGCUGGGACUGAGACACGGCCCAGACUCCUACGGGAGGCAGCAGUAGGGAAUCUUCGGCAAUGGACGGAAGUCUGACCGAGCAACGCCGCGUGAGUGAAGAAGGUUUUCGGAUCGUAAAGCUCUGUUGUAAGAGAAGAACGAGUGUGAGAGUGGAAAGUUCACACUGUGACGGUAUCUUACCAGAAAGGGACGGCUAACUACGUG
rnacentral:rRNA from 1 species